rnacentral:lncRNA from 1 species
CCGCCGAGGGUGUUUCGGUCUUUUCGCUCCCGGGGGUCGUGCGUGGCGUGCGGUGGUUUGCUCGUCCGGCUAUGGGGUGGGGGAGGGCAGCGACCCACCCUUUCGUGCUCUCAUUCGUCCCUCUCGUCUCCCUCUUUCUGGAUCUCGUCCUCUCUCGUCGCCGGCGCUUCUCCUUCUCGAUUCGACGCCGUCCUUCAGGUGGUUUCCCACCCUACCCCGCGCUCGCCUCCCUACCCAGGCGCCGUCAUCUCCUUCGCCGCCGGGAGCUCGACCGGGAUGCCUGCUCACGCUCACGGAGGCCGAGGCGGCUGGGCUGCUCUGGUUUGCGCGGCCGCCUCGGCCUCGGACUGAGAGGGCGGGCGAACGACGGGAUGAUGGUGGAGGCAGCCGACCGACGGACGGACUCACCGCUCCUCGGGGCCAGCCCCUCCCCUCCCCCGCACCGGACCGUGCAUCGGCUUGGAGGCCCCUCGGGGCCGCCGCCGCUGCGGGAGCCGUCCGCGGCCGUGCGGGCUGGGGACCGAGCGGCGGGUUUCGAUUGAGGGCUUGGCCGGGCCGGCGCGGGAUCUGAUCUGAGCCGCCGUCCAUGGAUUUCUCGCAGCUUGGCUGCAUCUUGCUUAGGAUUUGGUACUACCUCCGUCCUGUCCUGGUUAGUGCUCCCCUGCAUACUCCCUCCCUCUCUCUCUCCCUCGGUGUGGACGCCCGCACCUGAACCCAAACCCUAACCCGAAUCAGGCGAGCGCUCGUUGCCGGAUCGCUGAACCAUCCUCCCGGUGGCCGCCGCGUCAGUUCCGCACCGCUACAGCGCCGCCAGCCGCCGCCGCUCCAUUGGCUUGGAUUUGGUUGCGGCGUGGGCUUGGAACCGUACGGUGUUUGUGGUCUGAUGCGUGUUCCGCGCUGGGAGGUUUGGUCGGCUGACGCCAGGUAUGAGCAGCUCCUGAGCCUGAUCGCUCCAUGCGUGCACGCAUGCAUGAAUGUGAUGUGUACUCCCUCUGUAAAGAAAUAUCAUGGUCAUGUUGCUUGGUGUGCAACCUCUUUCUCAUCAGAGAAAAUAGUGGCGGAGCUAUGAUGAAGAUUGUUGCUGAAAUAAUCAUUGUCUUGAGCAAUCAAGACACUGGUGCUGGUGGUGGUGGAUACUAAGCAUCUACAGCCGGACUUGCUGACUGACCCAUCAUUUCGGUGGCCGCCCUCUCAAUCCCGUCGCUAUGGUGCCGCCAGCCACCGACAUUCCAUUGCCUUGGAUCCGGUUGUGGCGUGGGCUGGGAACCGCACGGUCUUAUCUGAGAGGUGUGCUCCGAGCUGGAGGUUUGGUUGGUUGAGGCCAGGUAUGAGCAGCUCCUCAGACUGAUGGAUGGAUGGCCACCACGGAGGUGACAGCAGGUGAAGCGUGGACUCCUUCGGGUUGUUGUAGUCAGUGAGGCUGCGGCCAUCGUCCAGCUGCUUACCAGCAAAGAUAAGGCCCUGCUGGUCAGGGCGGAUGCCCUCCUUGUCCUUGAUCUUGGCCUUGACAUUGUCAAUGGUGUCAGAACUCUCAACCCGAGUGACGUAUGCAUGCAUGCAUGUGUGUACCAUGCUGCGGCCGAAAUCAGUGUUUUGACCCUUUUUGGAAAAGCUCAGCACAAAAUGAACCAUGUUGGAAUAAGAGACGAGUGGAUGCCGGAGGCUCCUCAGCGAUCGCGGUUCUCAGCCGUUGGAUCGGGCCGCUUGAUGCGUUUUCGUCCGUUGGAUCGACAUCUGGAGGAAUCUGCGCCGUCGGAUCGAAAUCGGAUCGAAAAAAUCUACUGCUGGCGCCUCCCCCCGCUCGUUUUUACUUCGUUUUUACCGUUCUGAAGUCGCUGACGUGUGGGUCCGUUCGCGGGUGGGCCUCCGUUGUCAGCGACCGUGGCUUGGUUCCGGUCCGGUCGCCCCGUCGCGCGCGUCGGCGGGGGAAAGAUCUCAUGCCACCGCAUGUAAAAUCCUGCCCCCGCCGAGGGUGUUUCGGUCUUUUCGCUCCCGGGGGUCGUGCGUGGCGUGCGGUGGUUUGCUCGUCCGGCUAUGGGGUGGGGGAGGGCAGCGACCCACCCUUUCGUCCUCUCAUUCGUCCCUCUCGUCUCCCUCUUUCUGGAUCUCGUUCUCUCUCGUCGCCGGCGCUUCUCCUUCUCGAUUCGACACCGUCCUUCGGGUGGUUUCCCACCCUACCUUUUGGGUGAACCAUGUUGGAAACUUAUCUGGGGCGAUGAUGAUAAAAUUUGGCUGACAUAAACUUUUCUUCGAUUAUUCGAGGAGCUAUGGGCAUAAAAAACCCACUCCCCCCUCUUUUCGAACCUUUUCAUUCUCACUGAAUAUUGACGGCUCUCUCUUGGAUGGUCAUUCUGUUGAGUGAUAACCAGAGGAGCUCGACUUCAUUGGUGGGGGUUGAUCUGGUGAAAGAAGAUGGUGGAGCUAGGUUGUAUGAUAUAUCAAAGGCGAAUCUGAGCCCUCUCAAAUCUCAAUGCAACUAAUAUUGUGCCUUCUACACAUUUAUUUAUUCUUAUCGCCUUUUGAUGUUUAGAAGUGAUGAAUUGUCACGGUUCUGGCAUUUGCUAUCUCAUUAGGAGCAGAUACACGCAAAUCACCUCUUGUGGUGUUUGGUUUGCCUUCUCGUGAUUUUGUUGUCCAUUGUGGGAGCCAGUUUGGUGCAUUCGGGCUUUUUCUUUUCUGUUCUUACUUUUCCUUGAAUGGUUGUGAUAAUUCUGCUGUCUCUUGGAUAGUUUUUGGGGUUACCUUAUUGGGGUCGGGGUCAGUUUGCUUGUUUCAUUUGCUAUUUGACUUUUGAUAAUCUCAUUCUUCUACUAUAUUCUUUAUCUACUUAUCAAUUUGUACUUUUGGUUACUCCUCACUUCUUUACUGGUUUCAACUUAAGGGUCAUAUAGGGUGUUUAGAUGUCAAGAUUAUGGUUUCUUUCAUGUCAUGUUCAUGAAUGGCUGUGAUGAUAUAGCUUCUCUGUGAGAGCUUCUAUCUAACACCUGAAUUGAUUCAGUUGGUGCUAAACUAGGAUGGUUUGUGUCAUAGCAAUUAACCAGUUUAACUGGGGCGAUGAUGAUAAAACAUGGCUGACAUAAACUUGUCUUCGAUUAUUCUGAGUAAAAAUGAUAGUUUCC